CGGGAGGCAGCAGUGGGGAAUAUUGGACAAUGGGCGCAAGCCUGAUCCAGCCAUGCCGCGUGUGUGAAGAAGGCCUUAUGGUUGUAAAGCACUUUAAGCGAGGAGGAGGCUACUUUAGUUAAUACCUAGAGAUAGUGGACGUUACUCGCAGAAUAAGCACCGGCUAACUCUGUGCCAGCAGCCGCGGUAAUACAGAGGGUGCAAGCGUUAAUCGGAUUUACUGGGCGUAAAGCGCGCGUAGGCGGCUAAUUAAGUCAAAUGUGAAAUCCCCGAGCUUAACUUGGGAAUUGCAUUCGAUACUGGUUAGCUAGAGUGUGGGAGAGGAUGGUAGAAUUCCAGGUGUAGCGGUGAAAUGCGUAGAGAUCUGGAGGAAUACCGAUGGCGAAGGCAGCCAUCUGGCCUAACACUGACGCUGAGGUGCGAAAGCAUGGGGAGCAAACAGGAUUAGAUACCCGUGUAGUC
rnacentral:rRNA from 1 species